rnacentral:lncRNA from 7 species
GGGGGUUAGGGGGGGACACCUCCGGGAAAGCGGAGCGGCCAUCCCCGGCUCGGGCAGAGCAGUUGCCAAGUGAUCUUCUCCACAGCACCCACGAACUUUGGCCUUACACUGAAGAGGACUCGUCAAAUGCUUUGGGAGAUACAACACGGAAUUGGAAGAGAAGCAUGGAUCUACCUGAAGGGCAGUUCGCUGCAUUCUUGGUGUGUGGAGGAACGGGUCCCGUGCUCACUGUUGUUACUCCCACAUAGGCGGACUCUGUAACUGAUUAUAUGUGGGUAGGGCCCUAUUGAAAUUAAGGAGAUUCUGCAGUAGUGCGGGGUUCUGUUUGUGUGACCCUACUGUGCCUUCUUACUGUGAAUUCUGUCAGUGUAUCAUGGGUUGUGCUGGAACCUGCCUUUUGGGAUAAUUACCAAAUAAUAUAUUCCUCAAAACUUCUUAAUGGCACUGAGGCUUUGUGGAUAGUUGGUCACAUGAUGAGAAAAUUCAGCUAAAAUCCAUACAAUAUAUCCAUUAAGGAUAUCAUUAUUCUUGGAUAAUUCACCACGUGAACCCGGAGUCCUUCAGCACUGCUGUUAGGCCCAUCAAGACUACUUCUACCUGAUACCUUUCCUUCAGUAUCAAGAGGUUGACUCUGAUUUUGAUCAACAUAUGAUGCCAGCUUCCAUCAUUCAGUUGUUAUAUUUUCACACUGGAUACUUUCUCCUCAGCUGCCUCUCGUGUAGUAGUUGACUCCUUCUUAAACAGAACUGUUUGCUGUCUCCCUUUAAUAUCUUCUUGAAAGUUUUAUGUACUGUGAAGCUUAUGACAAUCCAACUAGAAAAUAAGUAUGUUGUACAAGUAUACUAAUACCGAUGCUUGUCACAGUAAUACUUUGUCAUUGCCUUUGUACUCUGCAGUAAUCUCUGUUGUCUCUUCACGUAGAAUUCAUGUGGACUUUUUGUUGUAUGCUUAUUCAUGGCCCAGCAUAACGAGAAGUGGUCCAGGGUGUAGCCUUCUAGGAUUUGUGGUAAUGCAAAUAAAUAAUAAUGAACACUUGUUGGAUACUGCAGUGUAGCCUCUGGAUUCUGCUGAGCCCUGACUCGCAUCAUACUUAAUGCAGAAAUAAGGUGCUCACAAAAAUAGGGGCCUCACAAAAGGGAGAGAAGUGAGUUUCAGCCAACACAGAAAAUGCUAGCACCCCAGAAGUCUUCUCAGCUGUCGAACCCAAGUCAAUAGCUACUGGCAUUGUGUCCAGAAAGCACCCCUCUUUAUCUUCUCCACAGCAGUAACAGCAGACUCUCCCUCCUCAGAGGAAGUUAAUGUGAGUAUUAUGAAUCCUCAGUGUAUACAAGAGAUUAAAGGACUUCAUAUAC